rnacentral:rRNA from 1 species
UACGUAGGGUGCAAGCGUUAAUCGGAAUUACUGGGCGUAAAGCGUGCGCAGGCGGUUUUGUAAGCCAGAUGUGAAAUCCCCGGGCUUAACCUGGGAAUGGCAUUUGGGACUGCAAGGCUCGAGUGCGGCAGAGGAGACUGGAAUUCCUGGUGUAGCAGUGAAAUGCGUAGAUAUCGAGAGGAACACCUGCGGCGAAGGCGGGUUGCUGGGCUGACACUGACGCUGAGGAGCGAAAGUGUGGGGAGCGAACAGG